CUGUUUUUCAGGUCCUGGACUCGGCAACUCUGUCCGUUGAUGAGACUUCGGUGCCAGGGGGCGUGGCCAGCUCAUUUAAGAUCCCGCCCCCUCGGCUCACGGUGAAUCGUCCUUUCGUAUUUGUUGUUUACCACGAAGCGACGAGAACGCUGCAGAUGAUUGGACGAGUUGUCGACCCCACCCAGAAAUGACCAAUCAACAACACAUCCCCUUUUGGUUUGGUUUAGACCUGGGUUAGUCCCAGUUUAGUCCUGGGUUAGUCCCAGUUUAGUCCUGGUUUAGUCCUGGUUUAGUCCUAGUUUAGAUCUGGUUUAGUCCUGGUUUAGUCCUGGUUUAGACCUGGUUUAGUCCUGGUUUAGUCCUGGUUUAGACCUGGUUUAGUCCUGGUUUAGUCCUGGUUUAGACCUGGUUUAGUCCUGGUUUAGACCUGGUUUAGUCCUGGUUUAGACCUGGUUCAUCUUAAAUAUGAAAUGAAAUUAAAUGUUUUGAACUUGGAGUUUUGUAGAACUUUUAAUGUUGUUUCAGCAGAUAUUAAUACUACAGUACUAUUACUGCUACUGCAGACACUACAUUACUAUUACUACUACUGCAGAUACUACAGUACUUUAUUACUCUUACCGCUCCACUAUUGCUGGCUGAGCCUGUACUUUGUCACUUUUAAUUACACAAAAACAUGUAUUUGUACCAUAGACUGUAUAUAUAAAUGGACCUAGCUAACCUGCUAGCGCCGCGCUCCAAACUAUGUAAAAACAUGGCCCCUCUCUGUAAAAACAUGGCCCCUCUCUGUAAAAACAUGGCCCCUCUCUGUAAAAACAUGGCCCCUCUCUGUAACUGCAUCUUAAAAUGUUUUUAUUUUGUAGCGAAAUUAAAAUAUGAACAUAAAUAACAGACAAAUCAGACGCCUUCUUUCCUCGAGGUCGCUCCUGUUAGCGUUAGCAACAGGUUUGAUUGACAGCGUUGCUAAGCGCCCGCUCCCUGUUAAACCAGUGGUGUGGGCGGAAAGGGGCAUUACCUUCAACAGCCUCUCUCCUGAUUGGCUGUUUGGUUGCUAUGAUACUCGUGGUUCAAACUCUGCUCCAGAUUAGCCGAUAUAACUGCUCUCGCCUCGAUGAGCGUCAUGUGGAGCUGAACGCUGUGGGUUACGUCACACUCAGUCCACUUCUUUAUACAGUCUGUGGUUUGUACUCAAGUAUAGCACUCCGUGUCUCCUCUCUGUCUCCUCAUCUCCUAUCUCCUUGUCUCCUUUCCUCGUCUCCUCUCUCCUCGUCUCCUCUCCUUGUUUCCUCUCUUCUUGUCUCACACAAAAUGACUGCUGUGUCUUGGCUCUGUUUUUGACUUUUUUUGUGAACGAUGCAGUUUAUUGUGAAUACUUACAGAUUUGUGAUGUAACGAGCUGCAAUUCCCAUGAUGCUCUGCUUCUGCUUUUGAACAAUAAAC
ensembl:lncRNA